rnacentral:rRNA from 1 species
GAGUUUGAUCCUGGCUCAGGACGAACGCUGGCGGCGCGCCUAACACAUGCAAGUCGAACGAGCGAGAGAGAGCUUGCUUUCUCGAGCGAGUGGCGAACGGGUGAGUAACGCGUGGGUAACCUGCCUUAUACUGGGGGAUAACAGCCAGAAAUGACUGCUAAUACCGCAUAAGCGCACAGAACCGCAUGGUUCGGUGUGAAAAACUCCGGUGGUAUAAGAUGGACCCGCGUUGGAUUAGCUAGUUGGCAGGGCAGCGGCCUACCAAGGCGACGAUCCAUAGCCGGCCUGAGAGGGUGAACGGCCACAUUGGGACUGAGACACGGCCCAGACUCCUACGGGAGGCAGCAGUGGGGAAUAUUGCACAAUGGGGGAAACCCUGAUGCAGCGACGCCGCGUGAAGGAAGAAGUAUCUCGGUAUGUAAACUUCUAUCAGCAGGGAAGAUAAUGACGGUACCUGACUAAGAAGCCCCGGCUAACUACGUGCCAGCAGCCGCGGUAAUUC